AAUAGAUACCCGGGUAGUCCACGCCGUAAACGAUGAGUGCUAAGUGUUAGAGGGUUUCCGCCCUUUAGGUGCUGCAGCUAACGCAUUAAGCACUCCGUCUGGGGAGUACGGCCGCAAGGCUGAAACUCAAAGGAAUUGACGGGGGCCCGCACAAGCGGUGGAGCAUGUGGUUUAAUUCGAAGCAACGCGAAGAACCUUACCAGGUCUUGACAUCCUCUGCCAACCCUAGAGAUAGGGCGUUCCCCUUCGGGGGACAGAGUGACAGGUGGUGCAUGGUUGUCGUCAGCUCGUGUCGUGAGAUGUUGGGUUAAGUCCCGCAACGAGCGCAACCCUUGAUCUUAGUUGCCAGCAUUCAGUUGGGCACUCUAAGGUGACUGCCGGUGACAAACCGGAGGAAGGUGGGGAUGACGUCAAAUCAUCAUGCCCCUUAUGACCUGGGCUACACACGUGCUACAAUGGAUGGUACAAAGAGCUGCGAACCCGCGAGGGUAAGCCAAUCUCAUAAAGCCAUUCUCAGUUCGGAUUGUAGG
rnacentral:rRNA from 1 species